UCAUUAGGAGAAGUAAUUAUGUAACAUAAAAAUGUGUUAAUAAACCAGAUCUGCAAUACUCAGGGAAGACCAUAUUUAUCUAUAUACCUUAACAGAUAAACAGAAAAGCAAAUGAUUUUGAAAUAUAUUUGCCUACUCCUUCACUCCAUUCAUUCAUUCACAUUCUUCUUUCAACAAAUUUUUACUUGGCAUUUAUGCUGUGCCAGGCACCAUAUUAGGCACUGAGGAAUCUAACUCAACAAAGCAGAUGCAUCCUGCUCCGUAGCGAAGAGAAUAAUUUUAGACAGGAGGCUCAGAGGCCAAUGAGCAGGAAGGCCUGAAGGAUAAGAAUGAAUUAGAUAAGCAAAGAGCUAGGGUAAGUUAUUUCAGGCAGGGGAAUAUGUAUAAAUGCCUGGAGGGUGGAAAUAACUUGACCUGCUCCCAAAACAGCAAGGAAGUCAGCGUGACCAGAACAUGGUGAGCAGGAAAAUGGCCUAACAUCAGGUUGGAGAGAAGACAGGACAAGAUUAUGCAGGUGCUUAAAGGCCACGAUCAUUUUGACUCCUGUGAGGGGUGAAGUAGGGAAGUCAGUUAGAAGCAACUGUGCACUGCAAUUGUGCAAGCAAAAGACAACCCCUUAGAUCAGAGGUCAGGAAACUUCUUCUAAAAGGGACAUAAAAAACAUGUAUGCAUUAUCUUCCAUGAAUUCAACUACAGAUGUUCAGCCAGAAAAAGGAAGGAAAAGAGAAGGAGACCAAAACAACGUAAACGCCAUGUUAUUUUGCCUGCCAUUC